AGGGAAUUAUAAAAACGGAGAAAAAAAGAAAUCUACUGUGUGUGAAGUGGAUCAAGGGCAUAUAAAUGGUGAUGGUAGAACAGGAAAAAACGGGAUUAUUGCUGAUGGUAGCACAAGCAAAAGCACAAAACAGUCUGAGUUGUGUAAUCAUGAAAAGGAAGAAAACAAUUACAAAAUACUGUAUCAUGAAUUGAUGGCAAAAAUGAAAGAUGUGCAAAAUUCUGUUGAUAAACAAAAAAUAUUAUAUGAUAAAAAACUAGAACAACUGGAACAACAUCAAGAAAUACAAAACGUUAAAAAUCAAUUAAAUGCAUCCGAAAAAAUUAUAGAAGUGUAUCAAAAUAUAUUUAGAGAAAAUGUAAAUCUAAUUCACAUGAACAGUGAUAAUAACAAUUAUAAUAGUCGCAGUAGUAAUACUAUAUGUACAAAGUCUGUUGGUGGUAUUAACCCUAACAAUAUGAACCCUAACAAUGUGAACCCUAACAAUGUGAACCCUAACAUUGUGAACCCUAACAAUGUGAACCCUAAUAAUGUGAACCCUAACAUUGUGAACCCUAACAACGUGAACCCUAACAACGUGAACCCUAACAUUGUGAACCCUAACAACGUGAACCCUAAUAGUAUACAUAUCGAUGCUUCACAAUGCGUGCAUAUGGACUAUAACACAUAUAAAAAUGAUCAUGAUAAUUUCUCUUAUAAUGCACAAAAUGAACAAGACCCGAACAAAAGUAUAAACGGUUAUUUUUCCCAACAUGGAAGUCAGCGUUUUGUUACAUCACCAUUUAACUACAAUUUAAGAACAGGAAGUGGAGGAGUAGAAAAAAGUGGUAUGCAAGAUGUUGUUAAUCCUAACGGAUAUGUUAUCACUUCAUAUAAUCAAUAUAAUGAUGAAACGAAUAGCAGAGCAAAUGAUAAUGUGCUAACUACUAUGAACAAUGAAGACGGUUCCCAAUAUGCUUAUUUGAAUACAUUUUUAAAAAUGUAUCUGGAAAAUAGCAAUCUGGAUGAACUGACCACUAUUUUCACGAAGGACAUUGAAGAAUUAAAAAAAAAGAAAAAAUCAAAUAAUAAUUUGGAAAAACUUUUAUCUAUUGAAAAUAAUAAAAACCUAUUUGAUAAUUUGAUGAAUUAUAAAAAAAUAGAGCUUGUUAAUAUUGUAAUAAAUAUUUGCAACGAUUUAAAAACAGAUAAUGUUUUUAUUAUUAUUCAAUUUGUUAAGUUUUUAUCUUUUAUUGUAUAUGAGCAAUUUCCCUUAUUUACAUCGUUUUAUUAUAAUAUUGCUACGUUAGUUUCUACACCUGAAGAAUCAUUGACAGAACAAAUGACAGAACAAAUGA
rnacentral:lncRNA from 1 species